rnacentral:misc_RNA from 1 species
AAAAACAUGGCACAAUGAGCAAUCAUGGUGCCGGAAUUAUGAUUUCAAGUGAUAUAAGGACUGCACACAUAACCCAUGACCGUGGAGAUGCUGAUAAAAUGCGGAUCAGUAGGGAUAUGGAUUCUGUAGUUAUGUCUAGAAAGCCAAAUGUUCCACGCUCUAAAUAUGCGAAGAAUGGUAGGCCACACAAAGCCACUGCAACUAUUAGUUCCACCAGAAACCUUUCAGUGUCAAUGUUGAGACGUACAAGCAAAUUUAGUAAAUCUGGUGGAAGUGAUAUAAAGAAGCGGCUGGGGCCACGUUACCAGAAUGUUGAUGUUGAACGCCCACUAGGAACAAAAUAUAAAUCUUCACUGAAGAAGCGCUUGGGACCCCGUAUAGUGAAGAAUCAUGCACCUCCGCCGUGGGUGAAAAAGUUCAAUUCUCAUGAGCUCUCUAGAAAUCAAGAUACUUUAGAUGAAAGUGUUGUUGAACCAGGUGAUGACCCCAAAGAAGGUAUUACUACUACAGCAAAACCUGAACCUCCUGAGAACUCUAAGGAUUUUAAGCAGCUGGUCCAAAAUGCCUUCUUCAGGUUCGUGAGGCACUUGAAUGAGACUCCAGCUAAAAGAAGAAAAUUCAGUGAGCAAGCUGGUAGUUUAAAGUGCCUCGUGUGUGGCAGAGAUUCAGAAGAGUUUGUAGACUCAGAGAGCCUCGUGCGUCAUGCAUUAACAUCCUCUAAGGCUGGUCUCAGAUCGCAGCACUUAGGCCUUCACAAAGCUUUAUGUGCUUUGAUGGGAUGGAAGAGUGCAGAUUCUCAUGAAGAUAGUUGGGUUUGUGAAAAGCUAUCCAAUGCUGAAACUGUGGCUUUGAAGGAAGAUCUAAUCAUCUGGCCUCCAGUUGUUAUCAUCCAUAACAGUUCCAUAACUAGCAGCAAUCCGGAUCAGCGUGUGGUUGUAUCAGCUGAAGAGCUCGAGUCUAAGCUGAGAGAUAUGGGCUUCGGGGAGAAGGCCAAGGUUUCUCGUGGUAAGCCUGCAAAUCAGAGUAUUCUUAUGGUGAAGUUUAGCGCUACUCUCUCAGGUUUGGAAGAAGCAGUGAGACUGUGUGAUAUCUACGCCCAUCGGAAGCAUGGAAGGGCGGAUUUCCAGCGUAUAAGUUCUGGUCAGUCUGGAAACAAUGACGAUGAAACUAAAGAACCAUUGACAGACAAAGUAGGUAAAAUCCUUUAUGGUUACCUUGGAAUUGCAGAAGACCUGGACAAAGUUGAUUUCGAAACGAAGAAACGAAGUUCUGUGAGGAGCAAGAAGCAGAUCAAGGUUAUUGCAGUUGCACCAUGAGAAGGAAAGACCAAGUUUUAGUUUGGCAGGGCAAAAAUAUAUGUUCUGAAU